UAUAAAAGGGUCAAUAAAUUAUAAGCUUAUUGAUUAAACACCUUAUCUUAUAGCUUUUGAAGCCAUGAAUCACAAAGCAUUCUCUUUGUUAUUCAUAGCCAUUUUUAUCUUAGUUUUCUGUCCAUCCUCAACAACGUCCUCUCGAAGAUUAUUACAAGAUUUACCUGGAAUUCCAAUGCGACCCCAUCAUUCUGGGUCAGAUCAUUCAGCAACUGAACAACCACCGCCUGCAAUUCCAACGACAUGCAAGGGGCAGGAUCGGCAAACAUUAGAAAAUUGUAUACGCCGUCAAGUAAAGGCGGAUCUCUGUAAAAAUUAUAAUAUAUGUUAACAUGAAUAAAAUUAAAUUAGAUGCACGACUCUGCUAUAAAUUGUACUAAAUUAUGUAAGUUUUAUUAUCAUAAUUAUUUUUAAUUUCUUCUGGAAUUCCUGAAUGCUAUGAAUAAACUGUAAGUGUGAAC